CAGUCGUCACCCUCAAGAGCAGCCCAAUCCGUGACUGAUGCGCAGCUGGGUUAAUACCAGCCCAACGCCGAAAUGCAACAUGCCGUCAUCAAGAGGCAACCAAGUCGUCCCAUCGCGUUACAUGGACUGAUCAUCCGAUUUACUCAACGACGGGGUGCCUCCAUUUCUCAGGACAGCUCUUGUUCAAAGAAAGUCGUGAAGCAAAUCAAGAAAAAAAUUGUGAAGCCAAAAAAAGAAGCAAAGAUUGUGCCCAGUUUGUUUUUUGUCCGAGGUAACAAGAUCUAAAUUUUCCUAUAGAUUGGUAUCAUCCGAAUGGAUGUUGUUUGCUUUGUGUUCACGACAUUGGAGCAUCCACACAUCAUAUAUGUGUAGAACGAUGGGCUACGUUUUAGAAGUUCGAACCAUAUAUACGUCCUUCUUUGCUCGUACGAUUCGGGUCACUUCCAUUCGCUUCCCGUCGAGGUGCAGUAGGUUUGCACUAUUAUAUAAUCGUAUUUCAUGGGCUAACAUUUCGCCGGAACCGCUUGUUUUGAGCGACAUUUCCGUUAUAGCGAUAUUCAAAGACUGUCAA